CAGCAGCCGCGGUAAAACGUAGGGUGCGAGCGUUAAUCGGAAUUACUGGGCGUAAAGCGUGCGCAGGCGGUCGUGUAAGACAGGUGUGAAAUCCCCGGGCUUAACCUGGGAACUGCGCUUGUGACUGCACAGCUAGAGUAUGGCAGAGGGGGGUGGAAUUCCACGUGUAGCAGUGAAAUGCGUAGAGAUGUGGAGGAACACCGAUGGCGAAGGCAGCCCCCUGGGCCAAUACUGACGCUCAUGCACGAAAGCGUGGGGAGCAAACAGGAUUAGAUACCCGCGUAGUCCCUGUCUCUUAUAC
rnacentral:rRNA from 1 species